rnacentral:rRNA from 1 species
GACGAACGCUGGCGGCGUGCUUAACACAUGCAAGUCGAACGGAAAGGCCCUGCUUUUGUGGGGUGCUCGAGUGGCGAACGGGUGAGUAACACGUGAGUAACCUGCCCUUGACUUUGGGAUAACUUCAGGAAACUGGGGCUAAUACCGGAUAGGAGCUCCUGCUGCAUGGUGGGGGUUGGAAAGUUUCGGCGGUUGUGGAUGGACUCGCGGCUUAUCAGCUUGUUGGUGGGGUAGUGGCUUACCAAGGCUUUGACGGGUAGCCGGCCUGGGAGGGUGACCGGCCACAUUGGGCCUGCGAUACGGCCCAGACUCCUACGUGAGGCAGCAGUGGGGAAUAUUGCACAAUGGGCGGAAGCCUGAUGCAGCAACGCCGCGUGCGGGAUGACGGCCUUCGGGUUGUAAACCGCUUUCGCCUGUGACGAAGCGUGAGUGACGGUAAUGGGUAAAGAAGCACCGGCUAACUACGUG